GACGAACGCUGGCGGCGUGCCUAAUACAUGCAAGUAGAACGCUGAAGGAGGAGCUUGCUUCUCUGGAUGAGUUGCGAACGGGUGAGUAACGCGUAGGUAACCUGCCUGGUAGCGGGGGAUAACUCUUGGAAAAGCUAGCUAAUACAGCAUAAUAGUAGAUGUUGCAUGACAUUUGCUUAAAAGAUGCAAUUGUAUCACUACCAGAUGGACCUGCGUUGUAUUAGCUAGUUGGUGGGGUAACGGCUCACCAAGGCGACGAUACAUAGCAGACCUGGGAAGGUGAUCGGCCACACUGGGACUGAGACACGGCCCAGACUCCUACGGGAGGCAGCAGUAGGGAAUCUUUGGCAAUGGACGGAAGGCUGAACGAGCAACGCCGCGGGAGUGAAGAAGGUUUUCGGAUCGUAAAGCUCUGUUGUAAGAGAAGAAAGAGUGGGAGAGUGGAAAGUUCACACUGUGACGGUAUCUUACCAGAAAGGGACGGCUAACUACGUG
rnacentral:rRNA from 1 species